GACGUAAAACCUUCAAAAGAAACUAACACUUAUCAACGAAUCAAUAGAAAUUACUCGAAUUAGCAUGUUGGGAUAUCUGACAACAAUGAGAUGUGUACUUACUCGAUUACAUGGCAGCAACACUUUAAUGGUAAGCCAAAAGGAAAGUAAGGAAAAAGAAAAAAAGAAAAGAGAAGGAAAAGAAGAAUGAAGAAGGAGAAAAAUAAGAAACAAACGAUAAAAAAAAGGAAAGAAAAAUUAAAUUUUACAAGAGCAAUUAAACUAAUUCUGCAGAGUAGCAAAAACAUAUCCCCGCUUCACUUAUGCAAAGACUCGAACCCCUGUCCUCGAACACAUAAGCAAAUUAAAAAGCCACAAAAAUAGAGACUUAAUUACAACAGAAAUCGACAGUCAGAC
rnacentral:lncRNA from 1 species